UACAGAGGGGGCAAGCGUUGUUCGGAUUUAUUGGGCGUAAAGGGCGCGUAGGCGGCUUUUCAAGUGACGGGUGAAAUCCCUCGGCUUAACCGAGGAACUGCCUGUCAGACUGGAAGGCUUGAGACCGGGAGAGGUGAGUGGAAUUCCCAGUGUAGCGGUGAAAUGCGUAGAUAUUGGGAGGAACACCAGUGGCGAAGGCGGCUCACUGGACCGGAACUGACGCUGAGGCGCGAAAGCGUGGGGAGCAAACGGG
rnacentral:rRNA from 1 species